GUGGCAAAUGUAAGGCCAGCUAUUGACAAGUGACCCGUUCUACCCUGUGCUCAUGUGCCUUGAUGAAUUGGCUACUUUGUGACUAUUAUUUUCUUUGCUAACACCAGUAGUUUUCAUCUUAUUUAUUGAUACAUUUCAGAAUGAGCCAUCAGGUAGGAUAUUGGAACUUUCUAUCCUCCUUCACUUGGCAAUUUCUGAGAUUGCGGUGCUUGGAACAAGGCACCAAAUCGUCAUUAAUGAGGCGGUGGAUCUCGCUAAACGGUUUUGUGAUGGAGCAGCCCCUCGUAUCAUUAAUGGGUUUCUCCGGACAUUUGUUAAAGAUCUGGAGCAAACACACGAUUAACUGAGACAUCUCACAGCAGAAAUGAAGGGUUUCGUCGUUGAUUUAGAUGUGUUUAUUGCUCUUCGAUACCUUCAUGAAGAGGAUUUCGGAAUAGCAGCAAAUUUUUUUUUUUUUUUUAACAGAAACGCAGUGAAGGUAAUUUGAGAACUCAAAUUUUUGUCAGAUUCUUGUUCUCAUUUGCAUGUACUACCGGCUGAUUGUGGAAGAAAGGAGAGGGACGUGGAGGAAACUGUCCACCUGACCAUGAAGGCAUGAACCAUCAUGUCAAGUGUAUUUUAUAGUAUUUAUCGCUCACUAAUUUC